AGAUUGGCUUUAGCUUACUGUUCCUUCCACAACACAGCAAUUUGGAACCAAACAGCUGCUGGGUUGAGACCCACGGGCACUCACCAACCAGUCC
rnacentral:vault_RNA from 1 species